AUUGAACGCUGGCGGAAUGCUUUACACAUGCAAGUCGAGCGGCAGCACGGACUUCGGUCUGGUGGCGAGUGGCGAACGGGUGAGUAAUGUAUCGGAACGUGCCCAGUCGUGGGGGAUAACGUAGUGAAAAUUACGCUAAUACCGCAUACGAUCUAUGGAUGAAAGCGGGGGAUCGCAAGACCUCGCGCGAUUGGAGCGGCCGAUAUCGGAUUAGGUAGUUGGUGGGGUAAAGGCCCACCAAGCCAACGAUCUGUAGCUGGUCUGAGAGGACGACCAGCCACACUGGAACUGAGACACGGUCCAGACUCCUACGGGAGGCAGCAGUGGGGAAUUUUGGACAAUGGGCGAAAGCCUGAUCCAGCCAUUCCGCGUGCAGGAUGAAGGCCCUCGGGUUGUAAACUGCUUUUGUACAGAACGAAAAGGUUUCUACUAAUACUAGGAGCUCAUGACGGUACUGUAAGAAUAAGCACCGGCUAACUACGUGCCAGCGGCCGCAGUAA
rnacentral:rRNA from 1 species